UUACGGUCAUAUCACGUUAAAACAGAUUCUCGCACGAUCACUGAAGUUAAGCAACGUCAAGCCUGGUAAGUACUUAGAUGAAUGUCCGCUUGGGAAUACCAGGUGCUGUAAG